AAGUUUAUCCAGAGAUAAAGCGGUCUCGGGCAAGGACCCACCAUAACGAGUUGAGGGAAAAUGAUUUUUCCUUCUCUCAGUUUCUGGUGACCAGGGUAAGGCCUGCUAGGACACCCCACUCGCUUCAGAGCCUGUAGACACUGGCAGAGGGUGAGAAUACCUACCACGGGCUGCUGUCCCGAUCCCUACCUGCGGUGCCUGGACAGUAUUGUUUUGCUCUGAUGCUUUUGCAAAAGUGAAAUUCAUGGCAAGGACCCUACUACGUACUCUUGACGACUGAUACUGCCACCAGUUUACAAGAUGUCAAAACUUGGGUGCAUAUUUCACAACUGAAGAAGGCUCCACCUGACAUCUGGUUCUGUGCAAAACCUGGAGAUCUCAGAAUUAAAUUGAAUAGGAGGAGUAGGGUGCAACACUGAGGUAGGCUGCAUAGCACUGCCCAGCUAUUUCCCAGCCUUCUUCACAGGCUGAUGCAUGUAUGUGGUCAUGACCCAGCUGUGACCACACCACCAAAGACAAUAUCCUACAGAUGAUGGUGCAACAAGAUGAAAGAAGCAAGACCCCUAACUGACCUGAUGGUACUGAGCAGCCACACCAGUCAGGACCACUCAUCUCUGGUCUCUGCUGAGAAAUAAAUAAACUGUA